rnacentral:piRNA from 1 species
UUCCACUCAAUCAGCUUUAAAAAGGAUUU